rnacentral:lncRNA from 1 species
AUGGAGGAGAACAGACAACAACAACAGAGCAGAAUCAUGUCCCACCAUCGCCCGUCAAAGAGAAGAAAUAAUAAGACUGAAGAAGAGAAGCAGAGUCAAAACAAAGAACUGGGCCGAGCCAGAGAGAAAACAAGGAUAAAUAUCAGAGCGUCAUUUCAGAGGUGGAGGAGCUGCAGGAUCUGUCAGGACUUUUCUGCUGGACAGCUUCAGGAAGAACCCGCCCGCCUCCUUCAUCCUGUGUGGCUCCCGGUCGACACCAUCAUCACCCAGAACUUAAAAUGGGAGCUGAACAUCAGAUCCCUCACCAAGAAGCCCGGAUGUUCUUCCUGCAGCAGCUGAAGAAGUUCAAUCUGCCAAAGAUGAUGAUGGUACACUUCUAUUCUGCCGUCAUGGAGUCCAUCCUCACCUCCUCAUCACUGUCUGGUACGCUGCUGCCACUGCUGAGGACAAGACCCACUCCGCUAUCCUGGCACUGAUGGUUUCUCUCUGGGCGCCUUUCUCUCCCUAAUUCAAACUUCACUGAGUUUUAUAGGGAUCAAAUCCAAACUCAAUCAAGACUUGAACCCAUGACUUCAGAACUUCUGACCCUAGUGUCGCCCUGCUGAGCUAACAGGAUGCAACAAUCAAAGAGUCUCAGAGAUUUUCACUCCUUCUGAGCAGUAACUUCACAAAGAGUGAUGCUCCGAGCACUUUUAAGUUUUCAUUUGUAAAUGUUGGACUUCAAAAGUCGCUGAGUUUCAUGAGAUCAAAUGUCCACCUGAGCUGCUGGACAUCUUCAAAACACAAUCAAGGUUUGAACCCACAACCUUCAGUCCUCAAAGCAGCACUUUAGCUUCCUGAGCUAAUGAGUUGGGGAUAAAGUUCUGUUUCUGAGAAGAUUUCACUCUUUGUUUUGGACUUCAGGUUUUGAAUUUACAUAAAGUACUCAAGGUUUGAACCCACAACCUCCAGACUAUUAUAAGAAUCAAACCUGCAACCUCAGAACUGCUGACAGGGCCUUCAUCAGCCUGAGCUACUGGAUCUGACUGAAGCCAUUAGUUUCUUUCAGAUUUGAAGAAUUGAACCCACGACCUCAAAACU